rnacentral:miRNA from 14 species
CUCCAUGUGGUCUCAAUAGACC